AUGAGGCAGUGCAGCGAUGAUUAUCUAGCCCUCCAAGCUGGAUGCAGCAAGAUCAACAAGCCAGAUUUUCCAUUUGUAGCUGGGCGAUUUUCAGUAGCAACUGGAGUACUCUUAGUGGUCACAUUCCUGAUCAUGUCUAAAUACUUAAGUUUUGUUGUUUUCAGAGCUUUAACAUUGGAUCUGUUUCGGAUCGGUGCCACUGACGUGUGCUUUAAUUAUCAGCUUCCUUCUUGGAAGUGUUCCAUUGAGGCUCCGAUGCUCCGGUGGGAACGACACACACUCCUCGCUGCAUCUUGUAUCCUAUUUGUGAGGGCUAUCAUGGUCCAAUUACCUUUCUUUGCACAUAUGCAGGCACUCGGCACAUGUUUGAUGAUUCAUUUUGCAGCGACAUGUUCUGAAAAGGCCCUUGGCAGCAACAAAAUGACAGGUGUAUCAGCUUUGCAGUGGAGCAUGUUGUUCGCCGUGGGUCGAACUGAGGCCAAGACUGAUGAGUUGAAGGCGAGAACAAACUACUACUCUACCCAGCAACUUAUACAGAGAUGUGGUCUUGACCCUGCUCAAGCUCAUCCACACCGCUGUCACUAUAGCUGCUUCUGUGAGUCUCUUGUCAUCUUCUUCGCCGCUGGCUUGGUAAAUCUCUCAGUUUACUUCUCCUCUUCCUCUCUUGAGCUCUGUAGAAAGUUGCAUGAACCUGAGGCCGAGGGCAAAGUGCAGUCACCACAUUCGCUUCCCACAGCUGUGGAUGACGACAAGGAGGUGAAUUUUCUGUUGUUUGAUUUGGUUUUACUGGAACAAGGAGUGGUGCUGCCCAAGCUCCCCAUUACCCGUUGUAUUGAGUUAAUUGCCGUUGAGGCUGUGAGGAUGCAGUUUCACGAGCUUGAGGGGAACUAUCGGAUGGUUCAAGAUCCGAAACAAGUCGGAGAGGAGGCUCAUGAGGCCCAUCAAAAGGCCCGAGUCUCUAAAGAUUAUGGAAGUGGUUUCUACCAACAUGGAUGGUUCAAGAUCAGGAAUGAGGCGGGAAGGAGGCUCACGAGGGCCAUAAUGAGAUUGGAGUCUCUAAAGAUUAUGGAAGUGGAGCACCGGGUCACUCUCCUCCAACUACAGUGGUUGUUCGGCCAACAGGGAAAGUUGCUUAAUACAGGCGAGCACUACCCCAUUGAGUGUGAUGUUCAACAAAUUAAUGCUGACAAGAUGGAGGAGACCAUGAUUCCUCUUCCGGUGGACCUUCAUUCCAAGAUGCUAGAAUCAACACGAGGUCAGAAGUUUUGCGAGAAGGAAACUAUCCAGACGUUGGCGACAUUAUUUGAUAGCUGGGCUAGGAUGGACAACAUCUCAUCGUGCAACAUGGAUGGCCUAUGGCAACGCACGGACACUCUACUAGUAGUUUAUGUACAGGGUACCACUAUCCCCAUUUUCCCGUUUCUAUGGAUCCCUCUCAUCCGCCGCCUUCGCCUCACUCGCGAGCACCCUCGUUCGCCUCCUCGACACUGCGCUCCUUUCCCCUCGCCAGACCUGGCCGCGUCCCCACCGCCCUCGAUCCCUCCCACUCUCCCUGGCCGCGUCGACUGGCCGGAUCUCCGCGCCCAGAUCGCCGGGACACCUCCUCCCCUGGAGCAGCUGCCGUCAUCACCGCGCCGGACUCCUCACUCCCGGAUUCAGAAAGUUGUAGACCUUGUGGUGCCCGGGUUUCAUGGUAAUGGAAACCGUAGGAUUAGGGCUAUGCAACCGACAUUUGGUGGAGCAAAGAAAAUUUAUGGAAGGCCCUAUGCGGCCAGGGGCAGGGGUCGAAUUUGUCUGGGAAGAGCGGAUUGCAGCGAGAAGGUAAAUUGCAGGGAAGCUGAGGUUGUCGGCUUCAAUUCUGACGGCCCCAGCUGCUGGAGUGCUGAAGCCAUAACCGCCUGGUUUGAAACAGACAGGAGAUCCGCGAGGUGGUAA
rnacentral:rRNA from 1 species